rnacentral:rRNA from 1 species
AUUUCUGGCCAUACCACCCUGAACGCGCCCGAUCUCGUCUGAUCUCAGAAGCUAAGCAGGGUCGGGCCUGGUUAGUACUUGGAUGAGAAAUA